AUUGAACGCUGGCGGCAGGCUUAACACAUGCAAGUCGAACGAGUGGCGGACGUGUUAGUAAUGCUUGGGAAUCUAGCUUAUGGAGGGGGAUAACUACGGGACACUGUAGCUAAUACCGCGUACCAUAGGCUGAGCCCAAGUGGGAUUAGGUAGUUGGUGAGGUAAAGGCUCACCAAGCCGACGAUCUCUAGCUGGUCUGAGAGGAUGACCAGCCACACGGGAACUGAGACACGGCCCAGACUCCUACGGGAGGCAGCAGUGGGGAAUAUUGGACAAUGGGGGCAACCUGACGCAGCCAUGCCGCGUGUCUGAAGAAGGCCUUCGGGUUGUAAAGGACUUUUGUCAGGGAAGCGGUACCUAAAGAAUAAGCACCGGCUAACUACGUGCCAGCAGCCGCGGUAAUAC
rnacentral:rRNA from 1 species